rnacentral:rRNA from 1 species
AUGACACUGUACAACCACUUCACACACUCCAAAAAUGUUAAGUGCUUGAUAUCUGAAGAAGCAAAGAGUACUAAAGUUUUGGCAUAUAUUACUGCCCUUAAGAAAUUAUGCAACCAUCCGAAGAACUUAUUAUGCCCACGACCACUGCCAUGGACUUUGUGGCCGGCCUGCUUAUCCUUGAUGUGGCUACAAUGCGCGAACCAGUGUUCGACUUUGAACGCCGACAUGGACGGCGGCCUCAAGUGCUACACCAUCUUCUUGAUAUGUGGAGAGGCUUUUUGCACUGCAGUUCAAGACAUAUUGUAG